CAGAAGCGGGUGAAGAAUGAGAGUGACGGUGCGUGCGGCCAUCAUUAACCGCGUGUGGGAAGGGCUGCCUGGUCUCUGGAUAGGGUGAGGCACAGCUCCCCCCUCCUUACUGGACUGAGCUACCUAUGACAAAAGAAUACCACCAACAUUGUUGUGUGGCAAUAAAGGAAUUUGAAGGCGCCAUCACUUGUCCUCCUUACGGCAAACACAGCUCUUUUACCUGGGGAGUCGGCAGAGUUCAGAUGUGCCAUGACAUCACAUAGACCGGAGAAAGCAGAGUUCCGACUGGGUAGAAAUGAAGAAGAUAUGAAGAGCAAGUUCACAGACCAGAACAUGAUGAAUUACAGUCUUUCUAGUCUGGUUUCCUCAGACCAGGGCAGCUACACCUGUUAUUACCUUGGUUACUAUGAUGGAAAAUGGAACUUUUCCUCCAAUAGCAAUGCAAUCACAAUUACAAUUGUUUCUCUCGUUAGGCCCCAGAUAUCCGCACCUACAAGAGGAGCUACCUGGGGUCAAGCAUUAAGCAUUAUCUGCUCCAUCUCAACACAGCACACAGGAGGAUAAUUUACUCUGAAAAAAGUCUCAGGAUCUUUUACAGAAAUGAAGAGCACCAGUGGAAACUUCACCAUUCCUUACGCAGACUUUUCUCAUGAGGGCUCAUACUGCUGUCAGUAUCAGACAACAGUCUCAAACAGGGAAUUCACCUCGCCUCAAAGCAACAACAUUAGUGUUUCUGUUGUAGGUAUGGACACAAACGUCUGUAGUAUGUCUGAUGCUUACUUGAUAAGUGCAUCCCAAAUGACCUUGUAUGUAUAUAUUACAACACAUAAUUAUUGACCA
ensembl:lncRNA